rnacentral:rRNA from 1 species
UACGUAGGCAGCAAGCGUUGUUCGGAGUUACUGGGCGUAAAGGGUGUGUAGGCGGUUCUUUAAGUUUGGUGUGAAAUCUCCCGGCUCAACCGGGAGGGUGCGCCGAAAAUUGAAGAGCUAGAGUGCGGGAGAGGAGAGUGGAAUUCCUGGUGUAGCGGUGAAAUGCGUAGAUAUCAGGCGGAACACCCGUGGCGAAGGCGGCCAGCUGGGUCGUCCCUGACGCUGAGGCGCGAAGGCGUGGGGAGCGAACGGG